AAAGCCCAGCAAUGGGUGAGUAAAGUGGCGUACGGGUGAGUAACACGUGGGUAAUCUGCUCUUUGGUGGGGAAUAACCCUGGGAAACCGGGGCUAAUACCGCAUAAGCUCGAAAGAGGAAAGGUGAAAAUCGCCGAAGAAGGAGCCCGCGGCUGAUUAGCUAGUUGGUGAGGUAAAGGCUCACCAAGGCGAAGAUCGGUAGCCGGCCUGAGAGGGCACACGGCCACACUGGCACUGAAACACGGGCCAGACUCCUACGGGAGGCAGCAGUGGGGAAUCUUGCACAAUGGGGGCAACCCUGAUGCAGCGACGCCGCGUGAGCGAUGAAGCCCUUCGGGGUGUAAAGCUCUUUCGGCAGGAACGAUAAUGACGGUACCUGAAGAAGAAGCUGCGGCUAACUACGUGCCAGCAGCCGCGGUAAUACGUAGGCAGCGAGCGUUGUUCGGAGUUACUGGGCGUAAAGCGUGCGUAGGCGGUCUUGUAAGUCUGGUGUGAAAUCUCCCGGCUCAACUGGGAGGGUGCGCCGGAAACUGCAAGGCUGGAGUAUGGGAGAGGUAGGCGGAAUUCCUGGUGUAGCGGUGAAAUGCGUAGAUAUCAGGAGGAACACCUGUGGUGUAGACGGCUUACCGGACCAUGACUGACGCUGAGGCACGAAAGCGUGGGGAGCAAACAGGAUUAGAUACCCUGGUAGUCCACGCCCUAAACGAUGCANACUUGGUGUGGGUAAUUCAUUUUAUCCGUGCCGGAGCUAACGCGUUAAGUAUGCCGCCUGGGGAGUACGGUCGCAAGGCUGAAACU
rnacentral:rRNA from 1 species